CGGGUCCUAAGGCGAGGCCCCAGAGGCGUAGCCGAUGGCAAGCCGGUUGAGAUUCCGGCCCCGUGCGGGAAGCGUUGAACCCCAGAGGGACCGUGGAACGAAGGGACGGCGGCCUGGUGGAUGGCCGUUCAACCGCGUAGAGGGCAACCUCGAGACGGGAGUACGAGGGCCGAGGGGCAACCCGACGCCCGAGCGUUCUGGAGUCGACACGCGAGAAAAGCUCGGGGGGGAGCGACCCGUGCGUCCGUACCGUAAACCGAC
rnacentral:rRNA from 13 species